rnacentral:RNase_P_RNA from 1 species
GAAGUUCGCCAGGCAAUCGCUGCACCUCUUCGGGGGUGUGGAGGAAAGUCCGGGCCCCGCAGAGCAGGAUGCCGGCUAACGGCCGGGCGCCGUGAGGCGACGGAAAGUGCAACAGAGAGCAGACCGCCGAUGGCCGUCCGGGCUUCGCCGCCGCAAGGCGGCAAAGUCCCCUCCUGAAGAGGAGGCUUCGCGUUUCGGCGCGGAGGGAGGCUGCCGCGUAAGCGGCAGUGGCUGGUGCGGCGUAAGCCGCGCCAGACGGAUCAGGUAAGGGUGAAACGGUGGGGUAAGAGCCCACCGCGGGACUGGUAACAGGACCGGCACGGCAAACCCCAUCCGGGGCAAGGCCAAAUAGGGGAGCAAUGGCGUGGCUCGCGCUGCUCCCGGGUAGGCUGCUGGAGCGCCGUGGCGACGCGGCGCCAAGAGGAAUGAUUGCCCGGCGGCACGGUGCGAACCGCUGCCGUUCGACAGAACCCGGCUUAUCGGCGAACUUCCCCA